rnacentral:rRNA from 1 species
AUUGAACGCUGGCGGCAGGCCUAACACAUGCAAGUCGAACGGAGUGGCGGACGGGUGAGUAAUGUCUGGGAAACUGCCUGAUGGAGGGGGAUAACUACUGGAAACGGUAGCUAAUACCGCAUACUAUCAGAUGAGCCUAGGUCGGAUUAGCUAGGUGGUGGGGUAAAGGCCUACCAAGGCGACGAUCCGUAACUGGUCUGAGAGGAGGAGCAGUCACAGUGUAACGGGGACGCGGUCCAGACGCCUACGGGAGGCAGCAGUGGGGAAUAUUGGACAAUGGGUGAAAGCCUGAUCCAGCCAGGCCGCGGGUGUGAAGAAGGUCUUCGGAUUGUAAAGCCCUUUAAGUUGGGAGGCGUUACCAACAGAAUAAGCACCGGCUAACUUCGUGCCAGCAGCCGCGGUAAUUC